UCUGAUACAAGCUUUCGCCUUAAGAUGAGCCCAUGGCCCAUCAGCUAGUUGGUAGGGUAAAGGCCUACCAAGGCUACGACGGGUCGCUGGUCUGAGAGGACGACCAGCCACACUGGCACUGAGAUACGGGCCAGACUCCUACGGGAGGCAGCAGUGAGGAAUAUUGCGCAAUGGGGGAAACCCUGACGCAGCAACGCCGCGUGUGGGAAGAAGGCCUUCGGGUCGUAAACCACUUUUGCACGGGACGAAAAAGGGAUAUCGAACAAAUAUCCCCGAUGACGGUACCGUGAGAAUAAGCCACGGCUAACUCUGUGCCAGCAGCCGCGGUAAGACAGAGGUGGCAAGCGUUGUUCG
rnacentral:rRNA from 1 species